UACGUAGGUGGCAAGCGUUGUCCGGAUUUACUGGGCGUAAAGAGCGCGCAGGCGGUUGUGCAAGUCGCGUGUGAAAGCCCCCGGCUCAACUGGGGAGGGUCACGCGAUACUGAUCGACUCGAAGGCAGGAGAGGGAAGUGGAAUUCCCGGUGUAGUGGUGAAAUGCGUAGAUAUCGGGAGGAACACCAGUGGCGAAGGCGACUUCCUGGCCUGUUCUUGACGCUGAGGCGCGAAAGCUAGGGGAGCAAACGGG
rnacentral:rRNA from 1 species